GGAAGUAAAAGUCGUAACAAGGUUUCCGUAGGUGAACCUGCGGAAGGAUCAUUAUCUAUUCCAUGAGGUGUGGUCGCGGCCCCCGGGGGGGCUAAACUCCCCCAGGGCGGUAGAGGUAACACUUUCACGCGCCACAUGUCUGAAUCCUUUUUUUACGAGCACCUUUCGUUCUCCUUCGGUGGGGCAACCUGCCGCUGGAACUUAACAAUAACCUUUUUUGCAUCUAGCAUUACCUGUUCUGAUACAAACAAUCGUUACAACUUUCAACAAUGGAUCUCUUGGCUCUGGCAUCGAUGAAGAACGCAGCGAAAUGCGAUAAGUAGUGUGAAUUGCAGAAUUCAGUGAAUCAUCGAAUCUUUGAACGCACAUUGCGCCCCUUGGUAUUCCAUGGGGCAUGCCUGUUCGAGCGUCAUCUACACCCUCAAGCUCUGCUUGGUGUUGGGCGUCUGUCCCGCCUUUGCGCGUGGACUCGCCCCAAAUUCAUUGGCAGCGGUCCUUGCCUCCUCUCGCGCAGCACAUUGCGCUUCUCGAGGUGCGCGGCCCGCGUCCACGAAGCAACAUUACCGUCUUUGACCUCGGAUCAGGUAGGGAUACCCGCUGAACUUAA
rnacentral:rRNA from 1 species